rnacentral:lncRNA from 1 species
AUCGCUCUGGUUUUGCGUACGUUCUACUGACAUAGCACUGCAUUAUGACACACACUGAGGCACAUUUUUGUUGUUUAACCUUGAGCCUUUCCAGCCACCCUUGUACGUUUUAUCCGUUGCGAACCCCUUUGAGCCUUUAACCAUUUUGUUUGUUUGUAAACCGCUUAUGUUACCCUAUGGCCAGAAAAAGAAAAAAAAAAUAUAAUAAUCUCUUC